rnacentral:rRNA from 1 species
UACAGAGGUCUCGAGCGUUAGGCGGAAUCACUGGGCUUAAAGCGUGUGUAGGUGGAUGCCUAAGUACCUUGUGAAAUCCCACGGCUUAACCGUGGAACUGCUGGGUAUACUGGGUGUCUUGAGCCACUCAGGGGCUACCGGAACAAGCGGUGGAGCGGUGAGAUGCGUAGAUAUCGCUUGGAACGCCAAUGGUGAAAACAGGUAGCUGGGGGUGUGCUGACACUGAGACACGAAAGCCAGGGGAGCAAACGGG